rnacentral:rRNA from 1 species
CCUACGGGAGUCAGCAGUGGGGGAUCUUGCACAAUGGGGGAAACCCUGAUGCAGCGACGCCGCGUGUGGGAAGACGGUCUUCUGGAUUGUAAACCACUGUCCCCAGGGACGAAAAUGACGGUACCUGGGGAGGAAGCUCCGGCUAACUACGUGCCAGCAGCCGCGGUAAUACGUAGGGAGCAAGCGUUGUCCGGAAUUACUGGGUGUAAAGGGAGCGUAGGCGGGGAUGCAAGUUGGGUGUCAAAACUACCGGCUCAACCGAUAGUCGCACUCAAAACUGCAGCUCUUGAGUGAAGUAGAGGCAGGCGGAAUUCCUAGUGUAGCGGUGAAAUGCGUAGAUAUUAGGAGGAACACCAGUGGCGAAGGCGGCCUGCUGGGCUUUGACUGACGCUGAGGCUCGAAAGUGUGGGGAGCAAACAGGAUUAGAUACCCUUGUAGUC